rnacentral:lncRNA from 1 species
GAAAGGAUCCGAGUCCUUGCUCCCACUUCCUUUACCCAGAGGCCUCCCUGCCCUUGAGGACUCCCCUUCCACUCUCCUGUCUGGCAGUGUCCUCGUAAACCCAACAAGGCUGGGCCCAGGAUUCCUGGGGGGCUCGACCCCCAUCCCUGCUGUGGUCACCCAGGACAGGGGCUAGGGUGUCCCCACUCCGGGGUACUCUCUCUGCACUGGGCACCUCCCUGACCCACUGAUCAUUUUAUACAAUUUAAAGCAAAUACAAGUUGUUUAAUUAACAAUUAAUUUUAAAAAAGAAUAAGGAAAAAUGGGAAAGGUUAAAGGAAAACACAUCACCCCGCUCUGUGGCAGGGAACACUACAAACAGUGUCUCUGGAACGUCAGGGCAGUUCACAGUCUGUUCCUUGUAGGUCCCAGGCUCCUUCUCAGGCCCUGGCUGUGCUGCAGAGACGCUGCGGGUUGGACACUUGCUCUGGUGGUGGCCACACGCUCUCAGGCUCUAGGUGGCAGGACCCUUCUUCCCAGCGUCGCCCCCGCCCAGUCGGGGUUACGAUCCCCUUCCAAGUCUGGCCUGCAAGGCCUCUUGGCUGAGGCGUCUCCCUGUGCUGGGCCCACUGCCCAGGGUCCCCCUCACUCUCCCCAGCUGCUCACCGCACUCGGACUGCACACGGCUCCGGACUGCCCCAGCCCCAGCUCCGGACUGCUCCAGCCCCGGCUCCAGCUCCACUCUGCCUCAGCCCGGCUGCUGCUGCUGCUCUGCCUUCAGCUCCCUGGGCUGCUUCUCUGGCCUCUCUGGCUCUGGUUGCUGCAGGCUGCUUCUGUGACUCUGCUCCCAGCUCUGACCUGCUUCCUGGCUGCUUGUCUGGCCCCUCUGGCUCUGGUUGCUGCAGCUCUGCUUCCAGGGCAGGUCUGCUCUCUCUGGGCUGUGCUCUGGCUUUGGGGCUGCAGCUCUGCUCCCAGCAGCUUAGCUCAGCCUCUGCUCUCUCCUUAGCUCGGCCCCAGUCUGUCUGACUCAGG